GAUGAAGAACGUAGUGAAAUGCGAUAAGUAAUGUGAAUUGCAGAAUUCAGUGAAUCAUCGAAUCUUUGAACGCACAUUGCGCCCGCUAGUAUUCUGGCGGGCAUGCCUGUCCGAGCGUCAUUUCAACCCUCAAGCCCCCGGGCUUGGUGUUGGGGAUCGGCGAGCCUCCGCGCCCGCCGUCCCCUAAAUCUAGUGGCGAUCUCGCUGUAGCUUCCUCUGCGUAGUAGCACACCUCGCACUGGGAAACAGCGCGGCCACGCCGUUAAACCCCCAACUUCUGAACGUUUGACCUCGGAUCAGGUAGGAAUACCCGCUGAACUUAAGCAUAUCAAUAAGCGGAGGA
rnacentral:misc_RNA from 1 species